rnacentral:lncRNA from 1 species
CGUCUGCCUUUUAACCCUCCCCAGGAGGUCGUGCCUCUGAGCCCCAAAGCUGAAGGCCCCUCUUGGGGGUGGGUGCGGGCCGGAGGGGCCCGAUCCUUUCAGAGCCGGGCCGAGGUGAAGGAAAAGAAGGAAGUCCUUUGAGAUACAUUAUCUCACUGAAGCCUCAGCAACUCCGCGGUGUUCCCAGAGGUGAGGAAACACACUGAGAGACAGAACACGACUUGACCAGGGCCACCCUGUGGGGCACGCUGGCACCUGCACAGCCCAGCUUCACCUGGUUCCAGCCCUGCCCGCGCUCUGCUCCCCACUUCCCGUAACCCUGGGCUGGCGUCAGCAGGCAGGCCUGCCAGGAGGCUGGAGCUGCCAACGACCUAUUUUUCUGGGCAAGAAGAGCCAUUUGGAGUUAGAGGUCUCAGCUGUGAAGCCAGAACAAUAAAAAUAAAAACAGCACGGACUCCUGGGCAGCCUGGACCAGGGAACCAACUGCCCCAAGAGUUGCUGCUCACCAGGCUGGAAGGUCCCAGGUGAUACUGACGCUACUGAUUCAGGGAUCACACUUUGAGAACCGCUGAAUAGACUGCCAUUCAAGCCAAGCCAAUCCUCUUGGCUCUACCUUCAAAAUAAACCCAGAAUCCAACCACUCCUUCCCACCUGCAUCACACUCCGGUCCCAGUACCUUCAUUUCUCACCUGGAUUAGUGCAGUCACUUCCUCACUGGCUCCGUACUUCCUGGACUCCCCACCUUGUUGCUUCUUCAAUAAAAGCCUCCCAAUGGCCUUCCA